rnacentral:lncRNA from 1 species
ACCGAACCAACGAAACCUUCAACAGUGAAAUUUAAACGCUCGUUACUUACCCAACUUCAUGAACAAACCCAAUUACGAUUUUAUAGGAGAAGAAUUUCGUUCCUCACAAUUCGCUGCCAAACAACCCAAAAUCACAUAACCAAAAGGACCAGAAUUUGUAUAAAACAGUUAAAACUACCCUUAAUUCGAACAAAGGUCACUACCCUCACUUACCAGACACACGAAGAGUUCAAAAAUCGUAUCACCACAAUUUUGGAAGAACAAUUUGACAGAUCAAGGAAAAAGAAAAGAACUUUUGUUAGGAAGAAAAUACAGAGAAAAAAAAAAGAAAGAAACUAGAAAAGGGAGAAAUUUUGGGAAUAAAAAGAAUAAAAAGAAAACUUAAAAGUUUAAACCAAAUCCCACUACAUCCACAUCCAUAACCACCCAACUAACUCAGAAUCCCACUACCACUAAACCAUUAUCAACCACCAUCGACAAAAAUGG